rnacentral:rRNA from 1 species
AUUCGCCCGCCGCGCCCCGCGCCCGUCCCGCCGCCCCCGCCCGCUCCUACGGGAGGCAGCAGUGGGGAAUAUUGCACAAUGGGGGAAACCCUGAUGCAGCGACGCCGCGUGAGCGAUGAAGUAUUUCGGUAUGUAAAGCUCUAUCAGCAGGGAAGAAAAUGACGGUACCUGACUAAGAAGCCCCGGCUAACUACGUGCCAGCAGCCGCGGUAAUACAAUCCAUAUGACUAG